AUUGAACGCUGGCGGCAGGCCUAACACAUGCAAGUCGAACGGUAACAGGAAGAAGCUUGCUUCUUUGCUGACGAGUGGCGGACGGGUGAGUAAUGUCUGGGAAACUGCCUGAUGGAGGGGGAUAACUACUGGAAACGGUAGCUAAUACCGCAUAACGUCACAAGACCAAAGAGGGGGACCUUCGGGCCUCUUGCCAUCGGAUUUGCCCAGAUGGGAUUAGCUAGUAGGUGGGGUAACGGCUCACCUAGGCGACGAUCCCUAGCUGGUCUGAGAGGAUGACCAGCCACACUGGAACUGAGACACGGUCCAGACUCCUACGGGAGGCAGCAGUGGGGAAUAUUGCACAAUGGGCGCAAGCCUGAUGCAGCCAUGCCGCGUGUAUGAAGAAGGCCUUCGGGUUGUAAAGUACUUUCAGCGGGGAGGAAGGGAGUAAAGUUAAUACCUUUACUCAUUGACGUUACCCGCAGAAGAAGCACCGGCUAACUCCGUG
rnacentral:rRNA from 1 species